AGGCUGUUGAGUGCAGCUGGUUCGUUCCUGUCCGCCAGGCAGGACGUCGUAAGAGGGAACCCGGUGGGAAUCCGGGACUGCCCCGCAGCGGUGAGUGGGAACGACCGCCGUCAUACGCACUGGGCCCGGCCGGGUCUGGGAAGCGACGGCCAGUAGGUGUCUCGUGGCCGACACGAGACGGGCCCGCGAGUCCGAAGACCUGCCCGUUGCCCGUGCGCGAC
rnacentral:ncRNA from 2 species